CGUCUGAGCUUGGCUGGUCGGAAGUCUCCUCAUCUGCUUCCUUCGGGUUAAACACGUCGGCCAGGUCUGAGUACGGGUGCGGCAGGCCGGGGAGCAGGCUCAGGCUGUGCCGCUCCAGGGCGAUGCAUGGCGGGGGCGGGCGGAAGCAGUGCUCCAGGCAGUAGGGAGAGUGGAAGGUGCAGCGGCCCCUGAUCCAGUCGAUGUCGGGCGCGUGGACUCGGAGCCAGCGGACGCCGAGCACCACGGAGAAGUCGGGCGAAGGUAGGACGUCGAAGGCGAUGGACUCCUGGUGGUUCUGGUGGAUGCACACCAGGGGCUCGGUGUGGAGCCAGAUGGGCUCGUCGCCCGUCAGCGAGCCGGCCGCGGACGGCACGGACUGCGGGUAGGGCUUCUGGUACAGCUCCACGUAGUGCUCCUGCGCGAACUUCUCGUCCAUGAAGUUGCCCUCGGCCCCCGAGUCGACCAGGGCCUGGACGGCCACGCUGUGGUAGGGGUUCACGCGCACCAUGAGCAGCAGGAAGAGGUGGGCCCGGUUGAUGGCCGGGUGGGCCUCGCUGGGCAGCCAGCUGCUCACCAUCCACCUCUCGGGCGCAGGUGAGUCAAUCCAGGUCAGGUUCCGCGGGCGGGCCUCGGGGGGCAGCCUCAGCACCGCCCUCCGCUCAGCCAGCUUCUCCUCUAUCUGCAGGACCAGCACAACGAGGCUGUCGAGCGAGUCCGGCUGGGGCACCCGGAAGAGGUAGUGGCGGAUGUCUUCGUUGAGCCCCUGGCACAGGUGGGCCUGCAGGACCUCGUCCGGCCAGCCCAGGGGAAGGAGGCAGCUCCGCCUGUGGAGAUGAGGACCCCACCCCGUCUAGUGCCUGCUGGAGGUGUCCAGGUGCCCUGCCGAGAUGGCCGCUUUCCCCUGGGAAAGGAGCAGCUGCCUGGCCCGGGAACAAAUCAAAGCCGAGGCUCACUGCCCACAAUGGGCAGUGGGUCAGCGGGCUCCCCAGGCCAGUGUGUGGCCCAGCCUGGCCCCUCAGGACAGUCACCUUGAAGGAGACCAGCAUCCCAGACCCACUUGGGGCCCUGCCAGGAGUCUGCGUGGAGAUAACAGAGAUCAGCCCAGCCCUCGCGACAGCACCUCGGCAUCCUGGAGUGCUUUCUCCGGAGGCAGCGGCCCUGGGGGGCGGGCGGCCCGGGAGGCAGGUAUGGCCCCGGCACUGCGGCUGUGCGGUUCCCUUCGCUGAAAACCACCUCGUAUUCUGUGCGCGCUGACAGGCAUCUGUCAGAGGGUCCUGUCGCCUGCUCUGUGGUGUUCGGUGAGUCUGCAGAUUUGCUGUGACACAGCAAGCACACGGCUGGGGGGCCUGGGCUGCCCCCACCGCCCCACACUGCUCUUUACCUCCCUGGCAGCCGCGUGCCGAGCCUAGGAUCCGGGCUGGGGGACGCGGCUGGCGUCUCGGGGGCUGGCUUUCGCCGAGGAGCUGUGAGCCUAAUUUCAGCCGCACGCAGGCGACUGUCUCCUGGCCGGCGCCUUGCCAGAGGCAGACGGGUCUAGCCUGGACAGGAGGGGGUGAUGGUGAGGUCUGGGCCAGGGUCGGUGCUGUGAGCCUGUGCCUGUGGGACAGUUAUUUCUAGAAAGAGGAACGGGGCUGAGAUGCUGAGCCAGCGUCACUCUGGGGAGCAGGGGGCCUCUGCACGCGUGUGCAUGUGUGUGCAGGUGUGUUUGAGGGGGCAGGGUCCCCAAGUGUUUGGGGCUGGGAAGGCGGCUACGCUGCAAGCAGCCAGCCGUCCCGCACAGACCCGCUUUGGAACACGGAGCUGUGGGUCCUUGGCAGAAUCCCCGAGUAUUUCUGUGCCUUGGUUUCCUGAUAUUAAAAAAAAAAAAAAAAAAGAAAGAAAAGAGAAAAGAAACCAUAGUCCCUGUCACACAGGGCUGUCGAGAUCUCAGUGAGAAAAUCGCACACAAAAGUCGUCAGCGCCGUAGCCAGAGCGGAGCGCCCGGCAGCCGUGGCUGCUGCCCCUUCGCCGCGCGGAGGGCUCCAGCCCCUUCCCA
rnacentral:lncRNA from 1 species